AGGGAAAAGGAUCCAUGGUGGCUGCAUGAAUCAUUUUCUAAUGAUGGACGCCUAGAACAUUCUUUGGAUGGCAGACUACACCCACAAGGUCAAGCAAACCUCCUGAAGGAAGAACCCAGAGACCAGAGCUCUUGGUCAACCAGAGGGUUCAACUAUACAGCACACCCUGUAGCAUACCCCUUUAUGUGUCAAGCACUGGGCCAGACACCAGGCUGCACAGAAUAAUAAGGCCCUCUUCCUGCUCAGUAUACAAAUGUGACAUCUGGAUGUGCAACAGCUGUCUUUUAACUCUGAGGGUGAAAGCCUCAAGCUACAGUGGAGGGAUGGACAGACAGAAGGGUCCUGGAUCCUUGAUGGCAACAUGGAGACCCCACUGAGCCACCGUACAAGCCCCAGGUGGCCUCCUUAUGAGUUAUCAAUUGC
rnacentral:lncRNA from 1 species